UGUAACUGAGAUACACACUUCGUAAUCAGUGUAUACAAUUCGCGGUAAAAAGAUGAUCGUUAAUAUGCGAUCUUGGGCGAGAAGAUGGCGACUUCCACGGACGCUAAAGGCGUAACCAAGAAGGCAUCCAGUGAUGGAAUUAUGCGUGAUAUGCAGAACCAAUUGCGUACAGCUCACAUCAAUUUGCCAGAUUUGUCAACGUUAGCACAAAAGGGUGAAGAGCAGUUGGUUGAAAAGUUUCUGUCAGAGAGUGUUGAGGUGAAGGGAGAAACCGGAGAAGUUGUACAAAGUCAGCUGUAUAUUGCUGCAUUUUGGGGCUUUCAUGAUGUUAUUAAAGGGCUGUUAGAUGCUGGAGCUGACAUCAAUUAUCAGAAUAAAAACACGCUGUGGACUCCACUUCAUGCUGCUGCAUUUCAAGAGCACGGAAAGGUUGUAAUGCUGUUACUACAGAAUGGAGCACAACCAGAGCUACCUGAUAUGGAAGGAAGAACACCAACAGACUUUGCUUCGGCCUCAAACAAGAUCUGGGCUCACUUUGCUGCCCUGGGUUGUCCACGCACAUCAAAACAAGAUCUCAUAUCAAAGGGAAUUAUUAAGAAGAUUACCGGGAGUGAUAGUCGACCUGGAAGUGGUUCUCGACCAGGAAGCGGAUCUCGACCUAAUAGUGGAACCAAAAUAGUAUCUGGAAUAAGAAUGGCAUCCUACUCAAGGCCUGAAUCUGCCUAUGCUAUCAGACAAGAUCCAUUCUCUAAGGGAAAGAGUAACAAUUGUAAGUACCGGUAGUAUCAAUUCGCAGUCUUUUGAUCAAAUAUGGAUCAAAUGUGGAAGCACCGUGGUGUAGCGGUUUUGACUCUCGCCUUGUAAUCAGAGGGUCGUGUGUUCGAAUCCCACCAUGGCCUAGCGUCCUUCGGGAAGGCGUAAAUCCACAAUUUGCCACUCUCCACCCAGGUGUUAAAUGGGUACCCGGUAGGAUGCAAAAGCCUAUGUAGUAUGCCUAGCAAUUGAGUCUUGGAACUCGUGUUGGAAUGCUCCCUAGGGAGUGGAGAAGGUGCAUGCAUUGUAUGCGGGCAUGCAAGGAUCCGAUGACCGGGGUAAUAAUAUAUCUGUAAAGCGCUUAGAGACGUUGUUCCGAUGAGUUAAGCACUAUAUAAAAGCGGGAUAUUAUUAUUAUUAUUAAAUAUCACUUUAAAAUUUCUAACACUUCCAGUGCUAUACGGAGUUUUUACAAGCAGCCAUGUUGGAGGACGAAUUAUAAAAACCUUUACAUCAAACCGUGAUAAAUCAUAGCAUUUAUGGUCUAAUGAUGCACAGGUUUCCCAUUGCUAUGUCCUCCAACAUGACUUUGUGAAUUCGGGUGCCUUUUACCUAUCAAUUUGAAAGUUCUAUUUUGAAUAAAUAAAUGAAUGAAUGAAUGAAUCAUAAUAAAUGAAUAAAUCAUAAUAAAUAAAUAAAUAGAUUAAAUAAAUAAAUAAUAACUAAGAAAACAGUGUGGUAAAUGAAUAUAUCAAUUAAAAGGUUAGUAAUAGAUUAAAAAUAAGAGUAAAAAUGUAGCCCUUUAAAAUUAAUUCCAACCCUGGUGUAGAUAGUUUUGAUUCUGAAUGAGUAGUAGUAACCAGGGUAACAUACUUCCAAUUUUCAGCAUCUCAGAUGUCGGCCAUAAUGGGAGGAGAUGUUCUAGCAGAGGAGGAUGUGUCAUCAGCAUCCAGUAAACAUACAGAUGGUCAACCAGCUUUCUCUGUUUGGAGGACAUGAAAACCAAUGCAUGGGACCAAAGUACACUUAUUUUUACAUUGGGAAAAUAUGACUCUAUCCCUGCUCCAAAAUAUCCUUUUUAUAUUGCCUCUACUGAUCAUGUUUGCCGCUAUUUAUUCACUCGUUCAUUAUGAGAUAAAAGGUCACAGGGGUCAUUAUACAUGAAGCUGAAAUGGUCCUUUAUUGCGAUGACAAAAGGAUCAUUUUGAUCGAUCAAAUGUGCUCAUGUUUGCAUGUAGAAUGGAUAUUAAUCUGAUAGUUAAUGUGAUUUGGGGGUCAGAGGCCACCAAAAAAUGCUUAAGAUGGGCUCAUUCUUGCAGUAAAUGAAGAGCUCUUUUACAGACUGACUUUAAAAAGCAUGGCUCAUUUACAGCAUACAUGUGUGAUACAUUGAAACCUGUAUUAUGAUGACUGCCCAUUGGAAACAAUUAUGAGCAGAUGUUUUUUAUGGACAGAUUCUUGUAAUACAUUUUUUAUUGUGGAGUACAAUGAUUUAUAUAUUUCACAUCAUGCAAUAUUAAAUGAAUAAACUCAACCAAUUGUAUUCUAUAAUUCUUAUUUUUUCUUCUUUAUCGAGCACUCUCAAUCUUGUUGAUAGGAGGGUAUUUCCUUGUAAUUCUGGAGGAGAAAGUUUGUAUUUUCAAGAUAUAAAUUUGCUAUGUCAUUCCUCAAUUUGUAGAAUAUGUUUGUGUGAUUGAUAGAGAUGUGUACUAAUUAGGCUAGAGCCAGCACUUGCUAUGAACACGUACACAGAGGCUCAAAGAAUCUGGUAUUCAAAUAGAACACAUUUGUCAAAAUAUCAAAAAGUCAUGUUCAUUUGACCCAACAACUGAAAUUGUUAAUCUUUAUCAUCUAUAUUAAACUACAGUAGAUUUGAGAUUGAUGUUAGAGGUAUAAUAAGCAUUGCUCAUUUCUAGUCCACAGCCGUUGAUUUUUAUGAUUUCUCCUGCAAAAAUAAGGCCGGUAUGAUAUGCUUUAUUUGUCCUUGCUGAGGUUAAUUUGCUACAAUGUAGCUCAAACGUGCAGGUCACAUCACAAUCACAGAGAGUGCUUGCGCUUACUAUGCCAAACAAAAAUGCAUUAUUUGGCAACCUCUUUGUACGGGAGACAUUGAUAGACUACAUGAAGAAAUAUGAUAUACUAAAUCAUAUUCCCAUAGUUUAAUUUCUUCUACUGGUUACAUGUAGUUAGGUUUAAAUUUUAACAUCCUAAUGUCUCUAGAGUAUUAGGGCCCCAUUUCAUAAAAAGUUGCUAUGAUUGCAACUCUUGCUGGAAUGUUAAAUUUUAUUGGAAGAGCGAAUCAAAAAGCGAAUUUCCACUGUUUUCAUGUUUUCAAUUCUAUAUAAAUUGGGGCCCCAGAGUAUAAUAAAGUAUUAUGUUUGAUCCAAUCAAUCUCAGCUGUGUGGAAAUCCAUCCAUACCAUAAUUUUUUUCCACAGAAAAUUAGCUCAAUCUCUUUAGUAUUAAACAAAGAGAAUCACACUGAAUCUUCAAGAGAAAGUAUGAAUAUAGAUCAUGUCUAGAAAAUAUUUUGAACAAACAUGCAUAAUAGAUGUUGACAUUGCUGGCUUUCCAUAGUUGUGGUUGAUUGGAUCAAUCGCAACUCUGUAAUAGUGUGGGCGCGUCGUGGUCUAGUGGUUCUGACUCUUGCCUUUCAAACAGAGGAUCAUGGGUUCGAAUCCUAGCCAUGGCGUGUUUUCCUUCAGCAAGAAAAUUAUCCACACUGUGCUGCACUCAACCCAGGUGAGGUGAAUGGGUACCCGGCAGGAUUAAUUCCUUGAUUGCUUGAGUGCCUAGGCAGCCCAGCUAAAGCCGGGGUAAUAAUAGCAGGGCUCGCUGGGAGAACAGUUUUCGGAACUGAAGUGGCUACCCUGGGUAAAUAUACCGCUAUUAUUAUUAUUAUUAUGUAAUACGGGGCCCAGAUGUCCAUAGCUAUGCUUUUUUCUAGACGAUAGUAUUUCAAUGUAAGUACUCCAGGGGCCUAUAACACAAAACUUUAUAGCGAUUGAUCGCACAGUAUACUUGAUUGCACAACAGAACAUUGUUUUCAAGCAAUAAAAUAGUGAUUGAUCGUUGGGUUAAUUCCUUUGAUUGAUUGCAUGUACUACUUAAAAAUCUGCCCCAAGAUCAAUCACCUAGCUUUAGCUUUGUGGGGGCGUCACAGUCUAGUGGUUACAAAUCUUGUCUUUCAAUCUGAGGGACGUGGGUUCGAAUCCCAGCCAUGGUGUGUUUUCCUUAGGCAAGAAAUUUACCCACGUUGUGCUGCGGUCAACCCAGGUGAGGUGAAUGGGUACCCGACAGGAUUACACUGUAGUUCCUUGAAUGCACCAAGCGCCUUUAGCAGCUGGAGCUAAAGCUGGGGUAAUAUAUAGUGCGCCAUUGAAUAGGCAACUAAAAUAAUCGGUGCCUCAUAAGUGCUAUAUAUUAUUAUUAUUAUGAUGUUACGGGCCCCAGGUGUGAAGCUACAUGUUACUGGGACAAGAUGAAUAUUCCGUUCAAGAAAAAUUAGAUGAUACAAGAAGUACGUCCUGAUGUAUCUCUCAGAAAGUUUUGUGCUAUGUAUAAUUUUUGAUCCGUCCUUUUGAUAAAGUACCAUAGUUUCUGUGAUGUACUACUAUUUUUAUGAGGGUGACUUCGUUUGUUUGAUUUUUUCUAAAACAUUUGUCACAAAUGGCUUUUGCUUUGCUGGACAAGGUCAAAAGGUGUUUUGCACAAGAAACUAUUUUGAAUAUCAUGAUUUAAAUCUGGGAUAAAUUCUCUGAGUGUCAGUAGUUAAAGGCUACCUUUAUUCAUAUAAGAAUAUUCAAGGAUUUCAAGCACUAUUGAAAAGAAAUCAUACAAUUGUGUUCUUAAUCAUUGAUAUAUGUGCUAUUGGCAUAACUGACCGAACAUGUCCAGUUCUACUUUUUCUACUACUUUAAUAAAGACAUUUAUAAAAACAUAUCCACCGUAUUAAGGGUGCUCAUUACAAUUACAGCACAAAUUACUUCAAGAAAAUGUCCUAAUGAAUUUACCUCAUACGAUAUAUUGUGCAUUUCAAGAUGUUACAAUUGCCAUUUUAUACAGUGACUUCAGUAUCUGCAUUUAUAGAUAUCACCAAACAGAUAUGACUAAAUGUUUAUUUAUAAAAUCUGUUUCUGUGUGGUAUGUCACGUGGCAGUGAUCAAUACAUGUACAUUUGAUGGUUGAUUAAUUGAUAAUUGUGUAUCUUUGUAGAUGGAGCCCAUUCAUGUCUCAAAUACCAUAGUGAUUAGUACAAUGCAUUAUUCAGUAGGAUGUGACUUUGCUUUUACUGUAGAAUGUGCCAUAAUACACACUUAUCGUUGUGUUACUGAAAUAUUUUCAGUGAAUAUUAUUUUCAAAAUUUGAAUGAAUUCAGAAGGCUUUAGAUUUUUGGAUCAUUGUGUCACUGCCAACUUGGAAAAAACUUGUCUAUUUGCGAGUGAAAAUUUGUGUUCAUGCACCCAACAGUGCCUUUUGCACUCAAAAGGCUGCUAACUUUUGCGUCAUGUCUGAACAACCCUUCAGGAUCUGCUCAUUGUCUUUGAUUCAUUCUUUAUGAUGUCUGGAUUGAAAUGGGAUACUUUAAGGAUUUUUUCUUCUCUUUAUAAUGCAUCAGCGAUCUGUGACACAAAUCUUAGCGAUUGAUUGAUUUUAAAUGAUUGUUAGCGAUUGAUUGUACAUUAUAUAGUCAGUGCAAUCGGUCAUUAAGAAUUGUUUGACAAUAGAUCACUACUCUUUGUGUUACAGGCCCCUGAUGUUAAUGUGUGUGUGAAGAUACUUGUAUUAUAGUAUUUAUUGUCCAAGAAGCAUCAUGAAAAUCACUAUUUUUGUUGCUAUGAUUUUGACUUGUAAAUAAAACAUAGAAUAUGCUCUAACAA